rnacentral:rRNA from 1 species
CGGACGGGUGAGUAAUGUAUGGGGAUCUGCCUGAUGGCGGGGGAUAACUACUGGAAACGGUAGCUAAUACCGCAUAAUGUCUACGGACCAAAGCGGGGGACCUCCGGGCCUCGCGCCAUCAGAUGAACCCAUAUGGGAUUAGCUAGUAGGUAAGGUAACGGCUUACCUAGACGACGAUCCCUAGCUGGUCUGAGAGGAUGAUCAGCCACACUGGGACUGAGACACGGCCCAG